rnacentral:rRNA from 1 species
UAGGGAAUCUUCGGCAAUGGACGAAAGUCCGACAGAGCAACGCCGCGUGAGUGAAGAAGGUUUUCGGAUCGUAAAACUCUGUUGUUAGAGAAGAACAAGGACGUUAGUAACUGAACGUCCCCUGACGGUAUCUAACCAGAAAGCCACGGCUAACUACGUGCCAGCAGCCGCGGUAAUACGUAGGUGGCAAGCGUUGUCCGGAUUUAUUGGGCGUAAAGCGAGCGCAGGCGGUUUCUUAAGUCUGAUGUGAAAGCCCCCGGCUCAACCGGGGAGGGUCAUUGGAAACUGGGAGACUUGGGUGCAGAAGAGGAGAGUGGAAUUCCAUGUGUAGCGGUGAAAUGCGUAGAUAUAUGGGGGAACACGAGUGGCGAAGGCGGCUCUCUGGUCUGUAACUGACGCUGAGGCUCGAAAGCGUGGGGAGCAAACAGG